AGCUUUGCGCAGUGGCAGUAUCGUAGCCAAUGAGGUUUAUCCGAGGCGUGAUUAUUGCUAAUCUAGGAAAGGACCAAAGUAGGUUGAAAGCAGCCAGGUUAGAAACUGUGGAUCUGCCAGUCCUGGA
rnacentral:snRNA from 1 species